rnacentral:lncRNA from 1 species
CAUCUAUGGAGAUUAGCAAUAGAUGGCGCGUAAUUGUUGUGUGUCUCCUAAUGGCGGUUUGUUGUCAUGAAAACGGUUCGCUGUUUUCAUUCAAUUUGCAGAAAUAUCGUAGUGAAUGUAAAGAAACAGGAAACUCAAAAGUCUCAACUCUCUGUUUGCCGAAUUUGCUCAUGGUCUGCUUAGCAAUAUUUUUCAAGAGAUGCAGGUUCAACAUGAUUAUCUGUUUAUUAUUGAAGAUUUAUCGAUAAACAUGAUGUUGAUAACUAUUGUCGUGUAGCAUGUUUCUAAUGCCAUUAAACAGGCAGAUGGACCAGCAUUAUUCUUAAGUUUUCCAAAAAUUCACUAGUCAGCAUCAUCAUGUGGACUGGACAUACUGGAUGAUCAGGACUAGAAAUCUUCACAUUCUUAAAAAACCUGAUGAGCAUCACCAAAAAAGAGACUUGGUUGUUGAUCUGACUUUUCCUAUUCGUCCUUGAAGCGAAAAAUCGAGCAAAAAAAAGCGAAAAAAACAAACAAACACACAUUUAACGCUCUAUUCAUCCCCGUCUGAAUGAUCGGUAAAACUGAUCGGUAA